rnacentral:misc_RNA from 1 species
UUUCUAAGACACAAUGACUUUUCUUUCACCCUAUCACUCAAGUGUUAGAACAUAAUUACGAUAUAGUCAAGCACUUCAGUUUUCUCAAGCAUGCAAAUUAGCUGGAAACAUAAGUUGCCAUAAACUGGCAUCCCGGAUUCUUUCUGCAUUAGAAAAAUGGCACUACUUACAAGCUACAAGGGCUAAGGGGAAGAUUUCUUGAUGAUGGCAUCUACUGCUAUUUACCUUUGUCCAUGAUUUGAACAGUUGAUCCAUAAGGGCAUCACUACAGUAGUGUAUUGUAUGUACAAAAUGAAGUACUUGAAGAGCAAAUGCCAAAUCAAAUGGCUACUUGCAAUGAAUUGUGAGAACUCUGCAGGACAGGUGCUCUUCUUCGUAUUUAUAAUUUAUAUAAGUUCCCAAAUCAGAUUAAGAUCAGCCCUAUCAUAGUUCUAUUUCAUCUCAUCCCUCAAUAGAUCCAAUACCGCAUAAAUUUCUCUACUUCGUGGAUGAUUGUUGUCACUUGCAACAAAAUGGUGUACCUUAUUUUCUAUCUCAAUCCAACUACAAC